AGAUUGAACGCUGGCGGCAUGCCUAACACAUGCAAGUCGAGCGGCAGCGCGGGGGCGACCCUGGCGGCGAGCGGCGGACGGGUGAGUAAGGCAUCGGAAUCUGCCCUGAUGUGGGGGAUAACGUAGGGAAACUUACGCUAAUACCGCAUACGACCGAGAGGUGAAAGCGGGGGACCGAAAGGCCUCGCGCAGCAGGAUGAGCCGAUGUCCGAUUAGCUGGUUGGUGGGGUAACGGCCCACCAAGGCGACGAUCGGUAGCUGGUCUGAGAGGGCGCACGGACACACUGGAACUGAAACACGGUCCAGACUCCUACGGGAGGCAGC
rnacentral:rRNA from 1 species